rnacentral:rRNA from 1 species
GGAUAACCUACCCUUAGGACCGGGAUAACCUUGGGAAACUGAGGAUAAUACUGGAUAGGCAAUUUUUCCUGUAAUGGUUUUUUGUUUAAAUGUUUUUUCGCCUAAGGAUGGGUCUGCGGCCGAUUAGGUAGUUGGUUAGGUAACGGCUUACCAAGCCGUUGAUCGGUACGGGUUGUGAGAGCAAGAGCCCGGAGAUGGAACCUGAGACAAGGUUCCAGGCCCUACGGGGUGCAGCAGGCGCGAAACCUCCGCAAUGUGAGAAAUCGCGACGGGGGGAUCCCAAGUGCCAUUCUUAACGGGAUGGCUUUUCAUUAGUGUAAAAAGCUUUUGGAAUAAGAGCUGGGCAAGACCGGUGCCAGCCGCCGCGGUAACACCGGCAGCUCUAGUGGUAGCAAUUUUUAUUGGGCCUAAAGCGUCCGUAGCCGGUUUAAUAAGUCUCUGGUGAAAUCCUGUAGCUUAACUGUGGGAAUUGCUGGAGAUACUAUUAGACUUGAGACCGGGAGAGGUUAGAGGUACUCCCAGGGUAGAGGUGAAAUUCUGUAAUCCUGGGAGGACCGCCUGUUGCGAAGGCGUCUAACUGGAACGGUUCUGACGGUGAGGGACGAAAGUUAGGGGCGCGAACCGGAUUAGAUACCCGGGUAGUCCUAACUGUAAACGAUGCGGACUUGGUGUUGGGGUGGCUUUGAGCUGCUCCAGUGCCGAAGGGAAGCUGUUAAGUCCGCCGCCUGGGAAGUACGGUCGCAGGACUGAAACUUA